rnacentral:rRNA from 1 species
UACGGGGGGGCAAGCGUUGUUCGGAAUUACUGGGCGUAAAGGGCUCGUAGGUGGCCAACUAAGUCAUACGUGAAAUCCCUCGGCUUAACCGGGGAACUGCGUCUGAUACUGGAUGGCUUGAAUUCGGGAGAGGGAUGCGGAAUUCCAGGUGUAGCGGUGAAAUGCGUAGAUAUCUGGAGGAACACCGGUGGCGAAGGCGGCAUCCUGGACCGACAUUGACGCUGAGGAGCGAAAGCCAGGGGAGCAAAGCGGGG